rnacentral:rRNA from 1 species
CCUACGGGCGGCAGCAGUGGGGAAUAUUGCACAAUGGGGGAAACCCUGAUGCAGCGACGCCGCGUGAAGGAAGAAGUAUUUCGGUAUGUAAACUUCUAUCAGCAGGGAAGAAAAUGACGGUACCUGACUAAGAAGCCCCGGCUAACUACGUGCCAGCAGCCGAGGUAAUACGUAGGGGGCAAGCGUUAUCCGGAUUUACUGGGUGUAAAGGGAGCGUAGGCGGUGUAGCAAGUCAGUAGUGAAAGCCCGGGGCUUAACCCCGGGAUUGCUUUUGAAACUGUUGAACUAGAGUGCAGGAGAGGUAAGUGGAAUUCCUAGUGUAGCGGUGAAAUGCGUAGAUAUUAGGAGGAACACCGAUGGCGAAGGCGGCUUACUGGACUGUAAAUGACACUGAGGCUCGAAAGCGUGGGGAGCAAACAGGAUUAGAUACCCGUGUAGUC